rnacentral:rRNA from 1 species
GAUGAACGCUGGCGGCGUGCCUAAUACAUGCAAGUCGAGCGAACGGACGAGAAGCUUGCUUCUCUGAUGUUAGCGGCGGACGGGUGAGUAACACGUGGAUAACCUACCUAUAAGACUGGGAUAACUUCGGGAAACCGGAGCUAAUACCGGAUAAUAUUUUGAACCGCAUGGUUCAAAAGUGAAAGACGGUCUUGCUGUCACUUAUAGAUGGAUCCGCGCUGCAUUAGCUAGUUGGUAAGGUAACGGCUUACCAAGGCAACGACGCAUAGCCGACCUGAGAGGGUGAUCGGCCACACUGGAACUGAGACACGGUCCAGACUCCUACGGGAGGCAGCAGUAGGGAAUCUUCCGCAAUGGGCGAAAGCCUGACGGAGCAACGCCGCGUGAGUGAUGAAGGUCUUCGGAUCGUAAAACUCUUUUAUUAGGGAAGAACAUAUGUGUAAGUAACUGUGCACAUCUUGACGGUACCUAAUCAGAAAGCCACGGCUAACUACGUG